rnacentral:tRNA from 1 species
GGGGCGGUAGAGCAGCGGACUUUUAAUCCGUUGGUCGAAGGUUCAAAUCCUUUACGACCCACCA